GGUGGGUCCCAGAGGAAGGGCCUGCCCUCCAAGCCAGGUGUCCAGCCCAAAGCCAGAGGAAGCCCUCCCAGCACCCCAGACCUAGAGGAGGCUCCAGAGGCUCCAGAGCUCCUGGCUGUGAGAAGAGACAUGUAGAAUGGGAACUGGAAAUAGAAAGACCUGGAAAUCAAUAGCCUGUCGUGGAGGGGUUGGAGAAGAGACCCUGCUUGAGUUCUCAGGAAAUCCUCAUUCUAAAGGAGGAAAGUGAAACUCAGGUCCCUCCUAGUCUCAGGGGAAGGAAUGACACUUAAGCCAUGUUUGCAGAGAAACAUUGGUCUAAGAGGCCAUAUAGAAAGGCAAGCCUGAUCCUCUGGGGUCCCUAGUCUGUAGAGCAGAGAGAAGCCUGGGCCUCCUCCUAGGAGCCCUCAUCUGAGCAGGGGAAGGGGAAACCUAUGCCCGAUCAUCAGGACAAUGCCUCCCUUGGGAACAGCAAGCAAAGCCUCUGGGAAGGAGCCAAAGCUGGACCAGAGUGUGAGGGCAUCCGCCCAGGGCUGCAGAGCCUUAGUGACUAAGGUACAGGCAGGAGUGAACUAGGGGAUCAGCUGUCAUCUGAGAGGACUUCUGGAGCCAGGACACUGCUGGGGCAAUGUGGUUUUUGGGCAGAUGACCCAGUGCCGAGACUCGGCAAAUGGUUGCUUGUCUGCAGACUUUGAGGAGAACUGCAGGUGGAGUGGCGGAUGGUGGGCAGUAAGUCCCAGAAACAUCUGAGGCCCCACAGCCCCUCAGUUGUGGGGAGGCCACAUAGGAUUUGGUUGCCCAAAGCUAGCUCUGGUAAUAGAACUGUCCUCUAGAGGGUGCCAACAGACCAAGCCAGGUGUGAACGUGCAUUGUCCUUGUCCCUACCACCACAAAUUGCCCUGCAGGUCACUCUGCAGGGAGAUGCAGGGGCAAGCUGCAAUCUGAGGGCUUCCUGGUCAGAAGCUGUCCUUAAGAAGCAAACCCUUUUGCUGCUGUCCUCCAAUGCUGAGGUUCUGUCCCUCAUUUAUUUACCACUCUGCAGACUCAAGUGGGCUCAUGAUAAUGAGUACUUUCAGGGAGAGAUGUACCCUUGGACAUAGGAGACACCUGCCUUCAUUCCCUUCUGACAUGUACAGUCAGGGUUAAGGUCAGGGUCAGGGAAGGGUCAAAAGUGAAGCUGCAGCUUGGGUUGAGGUCAGAGCUUGGGCAGCCUUGGACUAGGCUGGGAUCAAGUUGGUGAGAAGGGGACCUGGGGUCCAUUUGGUUAGAGUCAGGGAUUGAGCCCUGGACUCAUUUACUGGGCCAGGUUCUAGAGAUCCAGAUGUAGAGAAGACAUGGUCCUGUCUGUCUCUUGGGUGAGAUGGAUAAACAGCAGGUAACUUAAGAUACACUGUGAUAAGAUGGAUGGAAUAUAGGCAGCAGCUAAGCCAGCCUGGAGGGAGGCAAGAAUCAUCUGGAAGAACUGACAGGGAAGCUGAGUCCUCCAAGGAUUGGAGAAUAUGCCAUCAUCCCACCCAGCUAUUUCGGCAUCCAGACAAGGCCCAGGAAAAGGUUUAAGAAGGCAUGGUGGCCCAACUCUUUUGAGCCACCAAAUCCUAUAUGUAACUCAGGAGUCCAUAUGUCAAUCAGUAAGAAAGGAACUGCCUUGGCUGAAGGAGCAGGAAUAGGCAUGGAACACAGCACGGGUUCUUCAAGGACCUUGGUCUCUCUGAAAUCACCUGCAGCCAUAAAGACUCUCCUGCUCAAAAAUGAAAGGACUCUUAAGCCUCUUCCAGACCACACACGACUCGGACCCUUACGUCCUUCCUGCCUACAGAGAAGACAAGAGAAAGUUCUGGCUUGAUGCCCACCCAUCACACUCACCGCUCCUAACCUACCUAUGUGGCAUGUGGGGUGUGCAUGACCUCUCGGGGUUAGGAUCAAGGAGCCACCCUGGCCUGCAGCCAGGGGCUUAAAGGAUAAGCUUAAGGAAAACCACUGCUGUCACCAUGGGCUUAGAAUGCCUGGCCCUGCCAGCUGGUCCAGCCAAGCCCUCCUUGGCGAGGAUGAGCUGUCAUCAGAGAAGCCUGCUCACCUGCCACCCACCCAGGCCUCCUCUGAUGGCUCACCAGGCUCUGAGGCUGCAUUUCUCUUUCAAGGAGACACCUGCACCCAUGCACAUGUGUUCUCAGGAAAGCUGUGUGCUUACCCACAUCAUCCCUGUCUCCUACUGCACCCACCCUCCACACCUAUGGCCCACAACUUUGCACAGCUCACAUGGCUGUGUGCCCAGGGACUUAUCAGGCUGCAUACUAGUCAGACAUGAGUACCCAUCUCAGACUCAAGCAUGAAACACAGCAUAGACCCUACACGGAACACACAGGUGCUCCAUUCUAUACACCCCCUACCCCCUCCUCGAGCAAGGUUGUAUGAGGGUGAGGGGUGAGUCACCUGCCAACCUGUGGGACCUGCUGAGCCAGCAAGAUGGGAAGCCCCACGCUGACAGUUGUGGCCUCAGGGGACCAACACCCCUCGUGGGGCCCGCCCUGCCACCAGCCUCCAGCAACCCCCAAUCUUCCACUUCCACGGAAAGGCACCUCUAUUCCUUUCAAAUUUCAAU